UAGGGUCCGUGCAUGGAUAAUAAUCGGGUAUAAGACAGGCACCGAAGGCGCGGGGUAGCAAAUGAUAAAAGUAUCGGUAGGGGAGCAUUCCAUCGGCGUAGAAUGCAGUAGGUGACUACUGCUGGAGCCUAUGGAAAAGCAAAUGUAGGUAUAAGUAACGACUAGGAGGGCGAGAACCCCUCCCGCCGAACGACUAAGGUUUCCCAGGCAAUGCCAUUCAUCCUGGGGUCAGUCGGGUCCUAAGGCUAAGCCGAGCGGCGAGGCCGAUGGCAGACACGGUCAACAUUCCGUGACUACCGCCAUCAGUGAUGUCCUGACGGAGCAGUGACACCUCCGCGCCCUGACGGAAUAGGGCGUUGAAGGGCGUAGGCUAUGAUGAUGCCAGGCAAAUCCGGCAUCAGAGCUGAAACCUGAAAGUACGGGGUCCCCUUCGGGGGAACCUGAGAGCGAGGGUAACCAUACUCCCGAGAAAAUGGGCUAAACUCAUGUUGGCGGUACCCGUACCGCAAACCGACACAGGUAGUUGGGUAGAACAUACUAAGGCGUUGAGAGAUUCAUGGCUAAGGAACUAGGCAAACUGACCCCGUAACUUCGGGAUAAGGGGUCCUCACCUCCGGUGAGGCGCAGAGAAUAGGUCCAGGCAACUGUUUAACAAAAACACAGGGCUGUGCGAACUCGAAAGAUGAAGUAUACAGCCUGACACCUGCCCGGUGCCGGAAGGUUAAGAGGAGAUGUCACCGCAAGGGAAGCAUUGAAUUGAAGCCCCGGUAAACGGCGGCCGUAACAAUAACGGUCCUAAGGUAGCGAAAUUCCUUGUCGGGUAAGUUCCGACCUGCACGAAUGGUGUAAUGAUCCGGACGCUGUCUCGGCCUUGAGCUCAGUGAAAUUGUAGUAUCGGUGAAGAUGCCGAUUACCCGCGAUGGGACGAAAAGACCCCGUGAACCUUUACUACAGCUUAGCAUUGACCUUGGUCAUCCGAUGUGUAGGAUAGGCCGGAGGCUUCGAAGCGGCGUCGCCAGGCGUUGUGGAGCCAUCCUUGAAAUACGGCCCUUUGGCUGUCUGAGGUCUAACGUGCGAUGUGCGGACACUGCUUGGUGGGUAGUUUGACUGGGGUGGUCGCCUCCAAAAGCGUAACGGAGGCUUCCAAAGGUGCCCUCGGGCCGUUUGGUAAGCGGCCUUCAAGAGUGCAAUGGCAAAAGGGCGCUUGACUGGGAGGGAGACAUCCCGAGCAGGCAGGAAACUGGGGCAUAGUGAUCCGGCGGAUGUGUAUGGAAACUCCGUCGCUCAAAGGAUAAAAGGUACUCCGGGGAUAACAGGCUGAUCCCCCCCAAGAGCUCAUAUCGACGGGGUGGUUUGGCACCUCGAUGUCGGCUCGUCACAUCCUGGGGCUGGAGAAGGUCCCAAGGGUUGGGCUGUUCGCCCAUUAAAGUGGCACGCGAGCUGGGUUCAGAACGUCGUGAGACAGUUCGGUCUCUAUCUAUCGUGGGCGCAGGAGUUUUGAGUGGUGCUGUCACUGGUACGAGAGGACCGUGACGGACAGACCUUCGGUGUACCGGUUGUGCCGCCAGGCGCACCGCCGGGUAUCCGCGUCUGGAUCGGAUAAGCGCUGAAAGCAUCUAAGUGCGAAGCUUUCCACGAGAUUAGAACUCCAUUGAGGGUCGUCGCAGACGACGACGUUGAUAGGGCGCAGGUGUAAAGACGGCGACGUCAAAGCCGAGCGCUACUAAUUGCUC
rnacentral:rRNA from 1 species